GGGGGGGUGGGGGUAGCUCUAGUCCCAGUUCUGCCAAUUAUGAGUCACAUGAACCUCAGUUUCCCCAUCUGCAAAGCAGAGAUGCUAAUAAUACCACCUCACAAGUGUGCUGGUGGUGCAAUGGUUAAGCGCUUGGCUGCUAACUGAAAGAUCAGCUGUUUAAACCCACCAGCAUAAAGAUUGCAGCCUGGGAAACAUUAUGGGGCCGUCCAACUCUGUCAUAUAGGGUUGCUAUGAGUCAGAAUCAACUCAACGGCACACAACAACACAAGUGUCCUGGGCCUUGUGAAUGCUGGGGUCAUGAGAAGCACCUGUACACCGUGACUUCACUCCUAGAGCCACCCUGUGACCUGGAGGCAGGGAUGGGGACCCCUCUCACAGAUGGGGAGAUUGGGGCCCAGAGAGCUUCAGCCAUUGCUCAAGGUCACGGAGCUAGUAAACAGAAAAACUGAGGCUUGAACCCAAGUGGGUCACAUCUCAAAGCCCAAACCAUUAGGUAACACUGUCCCCCAAUCAGAAAAGAGGUGAUCCUGGCCAGGACCCCCCAACCUCUAUUUCACUACAUCUUGGGGCUAACCAUGGGAAAGGAACAGAGACCAUGUGGGGCCAGGGCAAAUGCUCUGAAAACUGUAGAGUGCUGUGGGAACCAAAGGAAACUUCACAGUCAUUUCCACCUCCUCUGAGUACUGGCCCCUCUGCUGGAUCAGACUCCUAAACUGUCUGGGAGACUCCUGGGAUCUAAGAGCUCCUCCGGCCCUCAGAUUGUUCCUCUCCUUCCCAGAAACCCUUAGUGAACAGGGGCCUCCCUCAGGCAUAGCCCCCACACCAGCCGGCCACCUGGUGCACAGGUCGGCCAGACCCACAGAGCCUUCCAGGAUCACCCACAAGAGGACACAGAAGAGCACUUCACAGGCCCCGUGCCAAACGAAGCACCGAGGUGUGGGCGGGGCAGGCCCAGGUUCCCGCCUGACCCGUGCAGGCCUGGGCUGGAAAUCCCCUCCAGUGCUCCAGUCUGGGAGCCGUUCCUGCCCCAUCUGCUCAGUCCUGGGAGGGAGAAAGAAUACUUUCAGGGGGCAACUAGCUUGUCUGUUCCUCCUCCACUCCUUCUUUUUUUUUUUUUCUCAGUCUAGCUUUGUCUCUGCCUCUGCAUGUCAGUUUCUCUCGGUCUCCAUCUCUCCCUGUCUCCAGCCCGCAGGCACAGACUUGCCUCCCUCCCGCGUGGCCCCCAAAGCCAAGUACAGCUUCUCGGCCGCUCCCCUUGCACCCUCUGGCUCCUCUUCCCGCAGCGCCCAGCCUCCUCCCUUCCUCAUCGCUGCACCGGGCAGGCCCUCGGCAGCUCGUGGGCAACGGGCACGGUUUGUUCCCCCCUUUCAGGCAGGCGCCGAGGCCCCGGCCCCUCCAGCUUCCUGCUCCCGCCUGGCUAGCGGAGAUGAGAGCCGGCUGCAGGGCUGGGAGCGAGGCAGUAGCACACAGAACAAACAGACUUUUUUUUUGCAACUAGAGGGGGAAGCACAGAGCUAAAAAUAAAACGAAAAGAUCAGUAUCUGUCAGUCUGACAGCUGAUUGGCUGCUUGGAGAUGCAUAUAAUUACCAGCAACUGGCGCUAGGUAGGCAAAGCCGGGAGAAACUGCUGAGACGAGCUCAAAAUGGACUCCUUUUGAAGCUGUAUUUGAAAUCCAGUUGACUUGUUCUUUGCUGAGGUGUUGUAGCCCACAAUUGUGGGGGCUUCUGCACUGGGGUCUCCAGCUCCUGCUACUCAGACAUUUGAGGAGCAGUUUUAAGAAGCCAUUGUACACCCUCCACCACCACCAUGUGCCUAAAGAUGACUUCAAAGUUGGAACAGAGAAGACAACUCCUGGCCGUUUUGGGCUCUGGGUCUGCACCACUUCUAAGAUGCUGCAGACAGGCAGCCCGUGGAGGUGAGAAGCUGCAAGUUGAAGUCAUCAGUUGACUGCAGAGCCUCCCGAAUCCACGGGACUUCAGAGCCCUCCCUUCAACCUCUACACUCUCCUGGCCAGUGUCUCCAAGGCCUCCAACCUCCUGUGGCCAUGGGGCAGAUGUAGGGAGGCAUGGUGGAGGGAAGGUGCUUCAUUCAAGGAGAAAGACAAGUAUCAGCCCAGACCCACGUGCACAUACUGGGCCAUGUCUGUGAAGGGAGCACUCCCCCUCCCCACAGACACACCCCACCCCAGCUAAGCCAGAAUCAGAAGGAAGCUGCAGAGCAGAGUGGAAGCCCCACGGAGAGACCCAGCUAGGUGCUCACUGACUCCAUUCCCAUAAUGCUCUCAGACUGCCGUGCUCCUGGUCUUGCAGAUUUUUACAAGAAAUUCAAGCCUGUCUGUGACUGGUUUCUACCAGGCUUCCCUUAAAUCCUGCAAACGUGAGUCCACACAUCCUCAAGGGCAGCUUUUGUAGGAACGUGGGAUGGGGAUGGAGGAGCAGGUGUUAAAUACUUGGGAUGUUGGACUUGGGCCCUUCCCACCAAGUGCCUCCCAGCGCAGCCUGGGUGGCUCAGUCUUGCCCACUGUGCUGCCUCCGGUCACCCUCAUCACCAACAAGGCUUGGGGGGGCGGGGGCAGCGCUCACUUCAUUUUAAAGAAAAUGUAAGAAAGCAGAUUCCACGGCUGAAAAAUAAUUGAGACAAGUGCUCCCCACUCCCUGUAACUCCAACUUCUAAACUAAUUUCUCUCUACUCUGCCACCAGAAAAGUCCCUCCUGCUGUUAUUUGCCCCAAGGCCCACGUUCGUCUAACAAGCAUACUUAAUUUGUUCGAUAAUAUAAGCUUUCUCGUUUUGGGUGAAUCAAGGGUUAUGAUGAUGCUUUGUUCAACUCCCAUCAGCCCUAGAGACCCUAAACAGGCACAGUGGGUUGAUACAAUCCUGUCAAAAACAAAGGAGCAAGAUGUUGUGUGAAGCCGCUGGCCCUCGGUAAGGGUGCAGUGACCAUCAGGGAUUUCCAGAGGCUGCGAUUAGUAGUGAUAGCAUGGAGCCCCCUGAGGGCCCCCAGGGAACCCAAGAUUGGGAACUACUGGGCUAAACCAGUUGGGAUGAAGGAGCAACUCUUUGAUAAUCACUGUGGCCAACCCAUUUCUCCAUCAAGGAAGUCCUCAAGCUGCAGGGCAUCCAGGGGGAGCUCAGUGGCUGUGGGGUUCCCUGACUUUGUGACUUACUGGCUGUGUGACCCUAGGCAGAUGGGUUCUUCUCUCUGUACCUCUGGGUUACAUUUCCUCCCUUCUGGGCUGUGAGUUCUCUGCAAUGAGGAUGUCUUUAUUGUUGCCACCACCACCUAUUCAGGUCUUCUGGCUUCCCACCCCAUCAGACCGUGAUUAUCUCACUGGAUUUCUGUGGUAGGAGAGACUUAGAGUGUAGAACAUGGAAAUGGGUAUCGGGAACCCAGGUGUGCUCUUGGAACCCCUGAGAUAUAAUGUCUGUGAUGGACAGACAGCCUGGGAGGGAAGCAAGGAGGGAAGGCAUGGCAGCCCAUUAAUGAACUAAAGGCACCCUGAGAUGGCAGCUCUGGGGUGCAUGCCAGCACUUCCCGUCUGUAAUGUACUGUGAAUCUCCUGGGAAUCAAGUUCAAAUGCAGAUUCUGAUUUAGGACACCUGGGGAGGGGCUCCCAGGCAAGGCAGACACUGGGCCAGCUGGGACCACACUCUGAAUAGCCACAGUGUAAGGGGUUCUCUGCCACCCCCCAGUGCCCAUACCUGGGCUUCUGGCCUAAGGGAUGAGGGUCAGCCACUUGGUGUUUGGAACUGAAGUUUCCAGAAAGGCCCUGAGAGCCCUGGUAUGCCCAUGUCGGGAAAGAUGAAGCAACAUGAGGGUAAAAUUGUGUUUUUAACCAAAUAAAGAUCACUGCCUUCUAGUAUGUAGAAAGAUAUAUGUUCCCACCCCCACACAGCCCCAGGGGCCCACAGGAAUGUGGUUUUCCAAGCAUAGCCUUCCCUUGCUGAAGGGGGCGGAUUUGCUCUUAAAAAGCUGCCUGUAAAAUGAAUUUUUCUGUUUCAAAUGCUAUUUUUCCAGUGGCGUAUGUUUUAAGACCAUAGCUGCAUUUCCACUGAGAAAUAUUCAACUCUAAGGCAUGGGUGUAUCAAACAUAAGGUGUAUGGAUAGUUCAAGGAUGCAGCAUGGCCCCACCCGUCACCAGACUACUGAGCUGAUAAGAAGCUGGUGUUACAGAGUUUGGGAUUCAAACUCUGAAUCUCAAAUGGUCUCUAAAUGGAGUCAGGUUCUGGUCAGAAAUGGCCCAGAGCCCUGAUCAAUACUACCAAUUCUAAGACUUGUGUGAACCAAGGGCAAACCAAUCCCACUACUGGAAAAGCAGUCCAGAGAGACUGUCCCAUCAUGGUAGGCUGGCCACCUUGUCUUUGUAUACUGAGCACCAAAGGUCACACUCUGAACAUUAGGCUGUGAAUUUUUGUUUUUAUAUUGGGCAUUAUCACUUAGAACAUUCCAGAGAUCUGCCACCAUGACAAUUUAGCUAUAUUUCCCAAAGAACACUCAGAGACUAGGACAUCAGAGUUCCGUGUUCAAAGACUCCUGAGAAAUACUGGAUUAAGAAACUUGAACAACUUUCCCCAGAAGGAAUACCAAGAAGCACUGAAAUCUUGAACAGGGUACUAGAGUCCAUGGUGCUGCCCACACUUGAUUGCCCAUGGUUUUUCCAGACCAUAGCCUGGGAUUAGUAUUCUAAGAAACACACUUUGGGAACCCUAUCAAUGAAAGGCCCUCGUAACUAAAAGACCUCUCCGAUUCCGUAUUAGUUACUUACUGAUGCAUAGCAAAUUACCCCAAACUUAAGUGGCUUAACGCAACAAGCAUUUGUUAGCUCAUGGUUUCUGAGGGUUAGGAAUUUGGAAGCAAUUAGUUGGAUGGUUCCCACUUGUGAUCUCUCUUCAGGUUGCAGUCAAGAUGCAACUGAGACUGCAGUCAUCUGACAGCUUGACUGAGGCUGGAGGAUCUGCUUCCAGAUGGUUCAUUCACAUGGCUGGCAAGGCAGUGGUGGCUGUUGAGAGGUGGCCUCAGCUCUUUACCACAUGGACCCCGCCACAGGCUGCAUGAGUGUCCUGACAACAUGGCGGCUAGGUUUCCCCAGAGUGAGUGAUCCAAGAGAGCAAGACUGAAGCUGCAGUGCCUUUUAUGACCUAGCCAUGGACUUUACAUGCAGUCAUUUCCUCAGUUUUCUGUUGGUUCCACAGAUCAUCCCUAUUCAUCAGGGGAAGAGGCUAUACAGUGUGUGAAUACCAGGAGGUGUCUUAGUCAUCUGGCCGAACUGCCAUCCAUGGACUUACUGAAUGUCUUAUCCACUGUCAUGGUAUCCCAUACAGUAUUGCCUUGGAUCAAGGAACUCACUUCACAGCAAAUGAAGUGUGGCAGGGGGCCCAUGCUCAUGGAAUUCAUUGGUCUUACUAUGUUCCCCAUCAUCCUGAAGCAGCUGGCUUAAUAGAACGAUGGAUUGGCCUCCUAAAGACAGUUAUGUCUCCAGCUAGGUGGCAAUACCUUGCAGGGUUGGAGUGAUGUUCUCCAGGAGGCUGUAUAUGCUCUAAACCAGCGUCCAAUAUAUGGUGCUGUUUCUCCCAUAGCCAGGAUUCACGGGUCCAGGAGUCAAGGGGUGGAAAUAGGAGUGGCACCACUCACUAUUACCACUAGUGACCCACUUGCAAGAUUUUUGCUUCCUGUCCCCACGACCUUAUGCUUUGCAGUUCUAGAGGCCUUAGUUCCAAUGGGAGGAAUGCUCCCACCUGGAGGCACACCACUGAUUCCAUUGAACUGGAAGCUAAGAAUGCCACCUGGCCACUUUGGGCUCCUUAUGCCUCUGGAUCAACAGGCAAAGAAGAGAGAUACCUUACUGACUGGUGUGAUUGAUCCUGAUUAUCAAGAGGAAAUCGGAUUGAUAUUACAUAAUGGAGGUAAAGAAGAGUAUGUCUGGAAUACAGGAGAUCCCUUAGGGCAUCUCUUAGUACUACCAUGCCCUGUGAUUAAAGUCAAUGGAAAGCUAUAUAACCCAAUUCCUACGUGGCUACUAAUGGCCCAGAUCCUUCAAGAAUGAAGGUUUGGGUCACCCCACCAAGCAAAGAACCAUGGCCAGGUGAGGUGCUUGCUGAGGGCAAAGGGAAUAUGGAAUGGGUGGUGGAAGAAGGUAGUUCUAAAUACCAGUUACGGCCACAUGACCAGUUGCAGAAACGAGGACUGUAAUUGUUAUGAGUAUUUCUGCUUUGUAUGUGUGUGUCAGGGAUUGAAUUAUGUCCCCCCAAAAAGGUGUGUAUCAACUUGGUUAAGCCAUGAUUCCCAGUAUUGUGUGAUUGUCCUCCAUUUUGUGAUUGUAAUUUUAUGUUGAGAGGAUUAGGAUGGGAUUGUAAUACCACCCUUACUCAGUUCACCUCACUGAUCCAAGGUAAAGGGAGUUUCCCUGGGGUGUAGCCUGCACCACCUCUUAUCUCUCAAGAAAUAAAAGGAAAGGGAAGCUAGCAGAGAAGGGGGGCCUCAUCCACCAAGAGAGCAGCACGGGGAGCAGAGUGCAUCCUUUGGACCUGGGGUCCCUGCGCCUGAAGAAGCUCCUCAACCAGGGGAAGGUUGAAGACAAGGAAUCUUCCUCCAGAGCCAACAGAGAGAGAAAGCCGUCUCCUGGAGCUGACUCCCUGAAUUUGGACUUAUAACCUACUAGACUGUGAGGAAAUAAAUUUCUUUUUGUUAAAACCAUCCACUUGUGGUAUUUCUCUUAUGGCAGCACUAGAUGACUAAGACAGUGUGCAUCAAAUAUUUUUGUUUUCUUCACUUAUAAAGUAUAAAAUGUGAACGGGGCUAGCACUUUUUCAGUUGUACUUGUGUUAGUUGUAUCAUGUUAGGUGCAAGUACGACUUUGUAAUUGUCUUUAUUCAGAGAUUAGGUAUGGUUUGGGGAGAUGUAUACAGAUGCCAAAUUGACAAGGGGUGGACUGUGAUGGUUAAGCUUGUAUGUUAACUUGGCUGGGCCAUGACUCUGUGUUUUGGCAGUUGCAUAAUGUUGUGAUCACUUCCCUGUUGAAAUCUGAUAUGCGAUCACCCCCCAUGACAAGAUUUGCUGAAUGGUACCAGUAGAGGCAGGGCCUAUGGUGGCUUACCACCCCCUCAGCCUUCAUCUCUAUGCUUUCCGCCACCUACUUCCUUCUUGCUCACCUUGCCAAGGUUUGUUUUUUUUUUUUUUUGGCUUGUUCUGGAUUCUGCAGCUGCCUCUUGUUCAUCUGACCUCCAGUUCUUGGGUCUGGAGCUAGCAGCUCACCUCCCAAUCUUGAGUUCUACAACCCUUGCAGCUACAUGAAUCAGGAGAAGCCUUGCGGUCUUGCCUGCUGAUCUUGUGACUCACCAACCUUCACAGCCUGCUCUCUGACCUGCCAGUCUUGGGUUCGCCAGUCCCUGCGGCUAUACACAAAUCAGGAGAAACCUCUAUCCUGAUCCACAGACUUCGGACAUUCCAGCCUCUAUAAUCUCAUGAGCUGUUUCCUUGAUAAAAAUCUCUCUCUGUGUAUAUAUUUAUACACUUUACUGGUUUUGCUUCUUUGAGAACCCAGCCUAAGACAGGAGGUGAGGAUUUUUUGGGGGCUAUCUCAGAGGCUUAUACCACAGUAAUCAUCACUUUAGUACAAGAACAGAUAACUUGCCUCAUUCACAUUGUUGGUUUCUAUGUGAUAUAUCGAAACUAUAUGUCGAAGUGAACCUGUUAACCUGGGAUGUGAAGGAAGGAGGAAGAGAACAGGAAUUUAUCACCUGCACUAAGCCCUGGUGAACAAUAGCAGAAAUAAUAAUAUAGUCCCACAGGCACCAUGUUGUUGUUGUUAAAAAAAAAAAAAAAAACCAAACCCAUUGC